GUGCUCACUUUAGUAGCACAUGUACUAAAAUCGAAAGGGUAGGAAGAGGAUUAACAUGGUCCCUGUGCCAGGAUGACACAUCCUGAAACAUUCAUUGUUUUC